rnacentral:rRNA from 1 species
GACAGAGGGGCCAAGCGUUAGGCGGAAUCACUGGGCUUAAAGCGUGUGUAGGCGGCUGCCUAAGUACCUUGUGAAAUCCCACGGCUCAACCGUGGAACUGCUGGGUAUACUGGGUGUCUUGGGUCAUCUAGGGGCUGCCGGAACAAAUGGUGGAGCGGUGAAAUGCGUAGAUAUCAGGAGGAACACCGGUGGCGAAGGCGGGUCUCUGGGCCGUAACUGACGCUGAGGAGCGAAAGCGUGGGGAGCGAACAGG